GCCCAGAUGGUGGAAUUGGUAGACACGCUGGCUUGAGGGGUCAGUGGCCGUUAGGCCGUGCUGGUUCAACUCCAGUUCUGGGCA
rnacentral:tRNA from 1 species